rnacentral:rRNA from 1 species
UACGUAGGCAGCGAGCGUUGUUCGGAGUUACUGGGCGUAAAGCGCGCGUAGGCGGCUUUCCAAGUCAGGGGUGAAAUCCCGGGGCUCAACCCCGGAAUUGCCUUUGAAACUGGAAAGCUUGAGUGUCGGAGGGGAUAGCGGAAUUGCUAAUGUAGAGGUGAAAUUCGUAGAUAUUAGCAGGAACACCGGUGGCGAAGGCGGCUAUCUGGACGACAACUGACGCUGAGGCGCGAAAGCGUGGGGAUCAAACAGG